rnacentral:rRNA from 1 species
GACGAACGCUGGCGGCGUGCUUAACACAUGCAAGUCGAACGGAAAGGCCCUGCUUGCCGGGUACUCGAGUGGCGAACGGGUGAGUAACACGUGGGUGAUCUGCCCUGCACUUCGGGAUAAGCCUGGGAAACUGGGUCUAAUACCGGAUAGGAGCCAUUUUUAGUGUGAUGGUUGGAAAGUUUUUUCGGUGUAGGAUGAGCUCGCGGCCUAUCAGCUUGUUGGUGGGGUAAUGGCCUACCAAGGCGGCGACGGGUAGCCGGCCUGAGAGGGUGGACGGCCACAUUGGGACUGAGAUACGGCCCAGACUCCUACGGGAGGCAGCAGUGGGGAAUAUUGCACAAUGGGCGCAAGCCUGAUGCAGCGACGCCGCGUGGGGGAUGACGGCCUUCGGGUUGUAAACUCCUUUCGCUAGGGACGAAGCUUUUUGUGACGGUACCGAGAUAAGAAGCACCGGCUAACUACGU